rnacentral:ncRNA from 1 species
CAGGAGUACUUGCUUUGAGGUAGCGCGUAACCACAGCUGAGUGCGUCUUCUGAAGUGAGGGAAGUCCGGUGCAAGUCCGGCGCUGUCCCGCAACGGUAACGGCAUCAUCCGCCGAAGCCCGAUAACUCACCUGAAGACUUGCUUGAUC